rnacentral:rRNA from 1 species
UGAGGGAAUAUUUGGGGUCAAUGGGCGCAAGCCUGAACCAGCCAAGUAGCGUGAGGGAAGACUGCCCUACGGGUUGUAAACCUCUUUUGUUUGGGAAUAAAGUGCGGGACGCGUCCCGCAUUGCAUGUACCAUUUGAAUAAGGACCGGCUAAUUCCGUGCCAGCAGCCGCGGUAAUACGGAAGGUCCGGGCGUUAUCCGGAUUUAUUGGGUUUAAAGGGAGCGUAGGCCGGAGAUUAAGCGUGUUGUGAAAUGCCGCGGCUCAACCGUGGCACUGCAGCGCGAACUGGUUUUCUUGAGUGCGCGCGACGCAGGCGGAAUUCGUAGUGUAGCGGUGAAAUGCUUAGAUAUCACGAGGAACCCCGAUUGCGAAGGCAGCUUGCGGGAGCGCAACUGACGCUGAAGCUCGAAGGUGCGGGUAUCGAACAGGAUUAGAUACCCUGGUAGU